UACGUAGGCAGCAAGCGUUUGUUCGGAGUUACUGGGCGUAAAGCGCGUGUAGGCGGCUCGGAAAGUCGGAUGUGAAAGCCCUGGGCUUAACCUAGGAAGUGCAUUCGAAACUCUCGAGCUUGAGUUCUGGAGAGGAAGGCGGAAUUCUCGGUGUAGAGGUGAAAUUCGUAGAUAUCGAGAGGAACACCGGUGGCGAAGGCGGCCUUCUGGACAGUGACUGACGCUGAGACGCGAAAGCGUGGGGAGCAAACAGG
rnacentral:rRNA from 1 species